rnacentral:rRNA from 1 species
AUUGACGCUGGCGGCAGGCUUAACACAUGCAAGUCGAGCGAGCGGCGGACGGGUGAGUAAUGUCUGGGGAACUGCCUGAUUGAGGGGGAUAACUACUGGAAACGGUAGCUAAUACCGCAUACCAUCGGAUGAGCCCAGAUGGGAUUAGCUAGUAGGUGGGGUAACGGCUCACCAAGGCUAUGACGCCUAACUGGUCUGAGAGGAUGAUCAGCCCAACUGAAACGAAGAGACGGCCCAGACUCCUACGCGAGGCAGCAGUAGGGAAGUUUCGACAAUGGACGAAAGACUGAUCGAGCAAUGCCGCGUGAGUGAAGAAGGUUUUAGGAUUGUAAAAUUCUGAUGGUGGAGAAGCGUCAUCUACCGAAAAAGCCACGGCUAACUCCGUGCCAGCAGCCGCGGUAAUUC